AGCGGCAGGCCUAACACAUGCAAGUCGAGGGGCAGCACAGGUAGCAAUACUGGGUGGCGACCGGCGGAUGGGUGCGUAACGCGUAUGCAACCUACCAUUGAUUGGGGCAUAGCCCGAAGAAAUUCGGAUUAAUACUCCAUAAUAUUCAUCAAAGGCAUCUUUUAUGAAUUAAAGCUUUUGCGAUCAAUGAUGGGCAUGCGUGACAUUAGUUAGUUGGUGAGGUAACGGCUCACCAAAACGAUGAUGUCUAGGGGUUCUGAGAGGAUUAUCCCCCACACUGGUACUGAGACACGGACCAGACUCCUACGGGAGGCAGCAGUGAGGAAUAUUGGUCAAUGGACGCAAGUCUGAACCAGCCAUGCCGCGUGCAGGAUGACGGCCCUAUGGGUUGUAAACUGCUUUUAUAUGGGAGCAAUAAGGUCUACGCGUAGACCGAUGAGAGUACCAUAUGAAUAAGCAUCGGCUAACUCCGUG
rnacentral:rRNA from 1 species